AACAUUAUAAGAAACAUACAUGAAAUAGUAAUAUGUACAUGAAAAUAGAACAUAGGUGAUGUUCUUCCAAUUAAUAUAUACUUUCUAUGUUGUAAUAUUAAACAGCUGUUUUUCAAGUAAAACACAUCUUAUGUGUGAAUAAAACUCAUAGCUUCUCAUGGUUUGACAGGUUUACAAGAGUUGGGGAUUAUAACUGCUAAACUAGUUUUUAUAUUCAUUAUACAAUAUAUUCCUCAUCUUCAGUCCUGUGAGUACAGUACUUUAUGUCAACUCUGUAUCACUCAGUUUCAAUUUGUACAGAUACUAUACCACAUCUAGACAUUGCAAUGGCACAGAUAUAUAUGGUGCACACAUCGUCAGAAAACCUGCAUGUAAAGUUUGCUAGUGGCUGUCAACAUAACGUUUCUGUAGCCUAUCAAGUACUUAUUCAUCAACAGAUCUUGUUAUUUUGCUGUGACUUGGUUUCAUGUUAAAGCUGAUGUUAGAUAUAUGCUGCACCUACAGAGCAGCUAAUGUUAUUUGCUUGUGAUUUUAUCAUAUCACAAAUGUUCCACUGUUUAUUUUGACUGUACAUAAUGAUUGCAGGCGAAUAUCUACUGAAAUAUGUUGAUUUAUUACUACUGAAUGGACAUCAUGCUCAUGGUAUUUGUGCUGUCAUGUUUACAAGAUAUACAUACAGAUUAAUUCUAAUCUUCUUGAUUUUAAUGUUCAUCUCUCAUUCUCAGGAUUUCAGUUUUAAUUAAAUUUAUGUUAAAUUUAUAUAAGAAACAGUCUAUAUUUAUAUUUGUAUGUAUAUAGAGGGAAAAGAUUACCUCUCACUUUAAGAUGGCAGUUGUGAUCACUGAUGCAAUAAAAUAAAGCUCAUGGAAUUAUUCAGUUUUUGUUCAUGGAUGUUACAUGUCUCAGCGGUACAUGCCUGCCUUGGAUUCUUAUGGCACUGAAUGUCCUAGGUGAAAUGGAUUCAUAUGACACUGAAUGUCCUAGGUGAAAUGGAUUCUUUUGACACUGAAUGUCCUUGGUGAAAUGGAUUCUUAUGACAUUCAGUGUCCUUGGUGAAAUGGAUUCUUAUGACACUUGAUGUCCUUGGUGAAAUGGAGCCAUCAGCUGGCCA